GCCUAGUGGUUAGAGCAGGUAGCCUAGUGGUUAGAGUCAGGUAGCCUAGUGGUUAGAGUCAGGUAGCCUAGUGGUUAGAGCAGGUAGCCUAGUGGUUAGAGUCAGGUAGCCUAGUGGUUAGAGUCAGGUAGCCUAGUGGUUAGAGUCAGGUAGCCUAGUGGUUAGAGUCAGGUAGCCUAGUGGUUAGAGUCAGGUAGCCUAGUGGUUAAAGUGUUGGGCCACUAACCGAAAUGUUUAUAGAUCAAAUCCCUGAGCUGACAAGGUAAAAAUCUGUCGUUCUCCUUCCCCUUUUUUCCUCAGAGUGAGGUGUAUAUUUAGCGUUUUGCAACAAAACCUGAUUAUUUGUCUCUGAAAUUAAACCCAUGUAGUGAUAGAUUAUAACACAUAUAAUUUAACAACUAUAACAAAAACACACCAAUCAUUUAGUGGGUUAGAAGUUGGUCUGCCUGGAUACGUUUUUUAAAUUAAACAAUAGCUAAUUUACCAAAAUGUAUAGCGUUUUGGAAUGAAACUCAUAUAAAUAUAUAAAUAUACAUUCACCCACCUGUGGUGCUGUGCACCUUGCAUAUGACUUUUCCCAUAGCUGUUUAAGUUCUUAACUGACUUGCCUAGUUUAAAUCAACUAAAUAAAGAUUAAUUAAAUAAAUAAAUGAUAAACUUGGUAAAUUAUUCUGUGAAUUUGGUGUUGAUGUCGGGCUUGGGUUCCCCCAUCUGGCGAAAAAUAGUUACUACAAGUUCCUCCAAUCAACGACUCUGUUUUCAGUGGGUCUAUGACGUUGUUCGGAUGAGAUAGUCGGAUGCGCAUGCGCAAAUCAUUUAGCGUCCUUGGAGCCACCUGAAGAGAAAGUUCAAUCAACUACUCUGUUUUUUUUUUGUUUAAAAAAAAUAAUGUUUUAUUCAUAAUACAAAAAUCAGCUUACAUUGAUUGCUACAUCAAACAUGUCUAACAAAACAAAACACAGGUAUUAACAAGAAAAUACUCAAACGUUCAAAAAAUAUCAAUAAAAUAAUACAAAAAAUAAACAAUUUUAGUUUCAUGAUUCAGGAAGAUGUUAUUCCUGUUGUUAUUCACUAGGGUUAAUGUUUUAAUAAGAUAAUUAAAUUCAAUUAGAAAAAUAUGUAAUUUUGGUAUAGAGUGUAUAUGGAAUUUUUGUUGGUGUAUGUAGUAUUUGGCAACAAGAAUAAACAAAUUAACAAUCA